CUACGGGUCGCUGCAGCUGAGGAAAUUUUACAAUGCUCGCAAGAGUGAUAAAAUAAACCAGAGUGUUUUUCUAUGAAAAACUUUUGUCUGAUGUAAAAAGUCAGACGAAUAAGGACUGGGCAAGACCGGUGCCAGCCGCCGCGGUAAUACCGGCGGUCCGAGUCGCAUCCACAUUUAUUGGGUCUAAAACAUUCGUAGCUUGUUUUGUAAGUUUCUUGUGAAAUCUCAUGUCUCAAGCAUGAGGCGUGCAAGAAAUACUGCAUUACUAGAGACCGGAAGACGUAAGGAGUAUGAUUAAGGUAGUGGUAAAAUACAUUAAUCUUAAUCAGACUAACAAUGGCGAAGGCACCUUACGAGUACGGAUCUGACAGUGAGGGAUGAAGGCUAGGGGCGCGAAAGGGAUUAGAUACCCUCGUAGUC
rnacentral:rRNA from 1 species